UUGGUGAGGUAAUGGCUCACCAAGGCGACGAUGCGUAGCCGACCUGAGAGGGUGAUCGGCCACAUUGGGACUGAGACACGGCCCAGACUCCUACGGGAGGCAGCAUUG
rnacentral:rRNA from 1 species